GACGAACGCUGGCGGCAUGCCUAACACAUGCAAGUCGAACGAGAACUCCGGGUUCAGUGGCGCACGGGUGCGUAACGCGUGGGAACAUGCCUUUGGAUCCGGACUAACUCCUCGAAAGGACUGCUAAUACCGGAUACUGUCUUCGGAUCAAAGAUGCAUCGCCUUGGGGUGGGCUCGAGUUGCUUUAGCUAGUGGGUAGGGUACAAGCCUUCCAAGGCGACGAUCCAUAUCUGGUCUGAGAGGGUGAUCAGCCACACUGAGACUGGGACACGGCCCAGACUCGAACGAGAGGCAGCGGAGAGGAAUAUUGGGGUAGGGGCGAAAGCCUGAUCCGGCAAGUCCGCGAGAGUGAUGAAGGCCUUAGGGUUGUAAAUCGCUUUUACCCAAGAUGUUAAUGACAGUACCGGGAAAAUAAGCUCCGGCUAACUCCGUG
rnacentral:rRNA from 1 species